UACGUAGGCAGCGAGCGUUGUUCGGAAUUACUGGGCGUAAAGAGUGUGUAGGCGGUGUUCCCAGUCUGUUGUGAAAUCUCCCGGCUUAACUGGGAAGGUGCAGCGGAAACUAGAAUGCUAGAGGGUGGGAGAGGUAAGCGGAAUCCUGGUGUAGCGGUGAAAUGCGUAGAUAUCAGGAGGAACACCUGUGGUGUAGACAGCUUACUGGACCACUUCUGACGCUUGAGACACGAAAGCGUGGGUAGCAAACAGG
rnacentral:rRNA from 1 species